GGAUAAAAUUAUCACUUGUGGUAAUGUGCACAGAAAUUUAAUUGGGUCUUUAGGCCAGCCUUCUCUGUUGCCAUUUGACUUUGAUUUGAGGGCAUAAUUUCGCAGCAAAAUA